rnacentral:misc_RNA from 1 species
AUUUUCAACUAUAUUCAACUAAAACAACUUUAGUCAUAAUAAGUAACAAUUUUAUAGCCGAUUUCUUUAUAAUAUCUUUAAAAAUGUGCUAGACUUACUAUAUUCUGUCUCAUUUAUAUAUUUAUAUUUCUCUCCUUAUUCCUCAGUAAUAUAAGCUAUAAAAUUCUAAAUAUAAUGAAAUGCACAUUACGAAAUGAAAUACUUACUAAGACUCAAAUAUACAUCUAUCUUUCUGUAAUUACAUUGCCUUUUACUA